rnacentral:rRNA from 1 species
GAUGAACGCUAGCUACAGGCUUAACACAUGCAAGUCGAGGGGCAGCAUGAUUGAAGCUUGCUUCAAUCGAUGGCGACCGGCGCACGGGUGAGUAACACGUAUCCAACCUGCCGAUAACUCGGGGAUAGCCUUUCGAAAGAAAGAUUAAUACCCGAUAGUAUAGUAUUUCCGCAUGGUUUCACUAUUAAAGAACUUCGGUUAUCGAUGGGGAUGCGUUCCAUUAGAUAGUUGGCGGGGUAACGGCCCACCAAGUCAACGAUGGAUAGGGGUUCUGAGAGGAAGGUCCCCCACAUUGGAACUGAGACACGGUCCAAACUCCUACGGAAGGCAGCAGUGAGGAAUAUUGGUCAAUGGACGAGAGUCUGAACCAGCCAAGUAGCGUGAAGGAUGACUGCCCUAUGGGUUGUAAACUUCUUUUAUACGGGAAUAAAGUGGAGUAUGCAUACUCCUUUGUAUGUACCGUAUGAAUAAGGAUCGGCUAACUCCGUG